UACGUAGGGCGCAAGCGUUGUCCGGAAUUAUUGGGCGUAAAGAGCUCGUAGGCGGCCUGUUGCGUCCGCUGUGAAAUCCCGGGGCUCAACCCCGGGCCUGCAGUGGAUACGGGCUGGCUAGAGGCAGGCAGGGGAGAACGGAAUUCCUGGUGUAGCGGUGAAAUGCGCAGAUAUCGGGAGGAACACCAGAGGCGAAGGCGGCGACCUGGACAGUGACUGACACUCAACUACGAAAGCGUGGGGAGCAAACAGG
rnacentral:rRNA from 1 species